UUUAAACCUUAAAUAUGAAUAAUUUCUCAUAUUA
rnacentral:tRNA from 1 species